rnacentral:rRNA from 1 species
UACGGAGGGUGCAAGCGUUAUCCGGAUUUACUGGGUUUAAAGGGUGCGUAGGUGGUUCUGUAAGUCAGUGGUGAAAUCUCCGAGCUUAACUCGGAAACUGCCAUUGAUACUAUAGGUCUUGAAUUAUCUGGAGGUAAGCGGAAUAUGUCAUGUAGCGGUGAAAUGCUUAGAUAUGACAUAGAACACCAAUUGCGAAGGCAGCUUACUACGGAUCGAUUGACACUGAGGCACGAAAGCGUGGGGAUCAAACAGG